GGGGGGGGGUGGGGGCGGGGGUGGCGGGGGGGGGGCGAGGGGGGGGGCGCGGGGUUUGGGGGGUGGCGGGGGGGCGGACGGGGGGGGAAGGGGUGGGGAGCCUGCCCGUGGCUUGGGGAUGGCCUCAGGGAGCUGGGGCUAACGCCGGAUAGGCGCCCCGGUGGCACGGGGGGGCGGGGAAAGUUUCGGCGGUUGGGGAUGGACUCGCGGCUUAUCAGCUUGUUGGUGGGGUAGUGGCUUACCAAGGCUUUGACGGGUAGCCGGCCUGAGAGGGUGACCGGCCACAUUGGGACUGAGAUACGGCCCAGACUCCUACGGGAGGCAGCAGUGGGGAAUAUUGCACAAUGGGCGGAAGCCUGAUGCAGCAACGCCGCGUGCGGGAUGACGGCCUUCGGGUUGUAAACCGCUUUCGCCUGUGACGAAGCGUGAGUGACGGUAAUGGGUAAAGAAGCACCGGCUAACUACGUG
rnacentral:rRNA from 1 species